rnacentral:rRNA from 1 species
GUGAGGAAUUUUCCGCAAUGGGCGAAAGCCUGACGGAGCAAUGCCGCGUGAAGGAUGAAGGCCUAUGGGUUGUAAAAUUCUUUUCUCAGAAAAGAAUUAUGACGGUAUCUGAGGAAUAAGCAUCGGCUAACUCUGUGCCAGCAGCCGCGGUAAGACAGAGGAUGCAAGCGUUAUCCGGAAUGAUUGGGCGUAAAGCGUCUGUAGGUUGUUUAAAAAGUAUUCUGUCAAAGAUUAGGGCUUAACCCUAGAUAGGCAGAAUAAACUUUUAAGCUAGAGUUUGGUAGAGGCAGAGGGAAUUCCCGGUGGAGCGGUGAAAUGCGUAGAUAUCGGGAGGAACACCAAAGGCGAAGGCACUCUGCUGGGCCAAUACUAACACUGAGAGACGAAAGCGAGGGGAGCAAAUGGGAUUAGAUACCCCGGUAGUCC